rnacentral:lncRNA from 1 species
CCGAGUUCCCGAGAACUGCUUCAAACAACCUGCUGAGAAGGGUCCUGAGGGAUCAGCUCAAGAAAGAACUCGCGAAUCGCAGCAAGCUAUAAGGGGCCUGAGGGAUAUCUAUUCCUUUUCAACAGGAAAAUGGAUCUUCAUAAUCCAAGUUUAUUGAACUCACGGCGUGUUACAACGGUUCGAUUCCCUUUCAUUCACUUCAUUGGGGGUGUAGAUUCAGAACACUUGUUAUUGUAUUGUAUGUGUUGAGCUCGUCAGAAGUAAUGAGGCGAUGGCUUGCUAUUGUAUUGUAUGUGUUGGGCUCGUCGGAAGUAAUGAGGCGAUGGCUUGAUAAAAUCAGAUCACUCUGUAUGUUUUAAGGUUUAUAAGCCACCAUAUUUUCUUACGUUUUCUCCUUACAUCUUUGUAAGACAAGAUGAGCUGCAUUAUGUAGUGUCAGAUCAAAGUUCAGAUAUGUUAUUUUUCGUUACUCUUGCA